AAUAUCCAUUAGUAACUAUAGAUAAAUAUCUAAAAUCAUUGCGGACAGUAGGUAUUAAUGAAUUAUACUUACGACAAAUAGUAUCAAGAGUAGUCGGUGCAAUAUAGUUCCAAAGGUCGAACGCUUGUGUUUUAUUUAAUUCUUUCAUAACAUUUUUGAUAAGAAUUAUGUUGUGACUAUUUAAUAUUUAUAUCCUAACUUUUUGCUAUAAUCAGUAAUUCAUCGGCUAGGUUGAACAGUUCAAUAUGACAAUAAUUUUAAUUUAGUACGUUUAGCUUAUAUUAGGUUAUAUUUAUUAGUAAGACUAUAUAAAAAGUUAUAUCAAUUGAAAUACCUACUUUUACCAACUUAUAACUAUAUAGUUAAAUUAUUUUAGAAAUAAAUACUUCAUAUUAUCUAGGUAUAAGGUAGGUAACAGCGGACCAUUAAAUGUAAUAAUUUUGUGUUCUAAUGUAUAAAAUUGAGUUUUUCGUAAAAAAUGACUAUUUCUAACUCCAACGAAUCGUGUCGACAAUUAUCACGAUUUUUAUCUUGAAAAAAUAUUCGCUACAUAUCAUGUACUAUGAAUCGAUUAAGCCACAUUUUUAUAUUUUUGUUAAUUUAUAGAUUGCAAUAAAUGUUGUAAACAUUUUUAAAAAAAUUAUUAAAAUUUAAAAUUUGCUUCAAUCGGUCCCUCGAACAUGUUAUGAAAAACUUGAAUAUUUUGUCAGAAUGCAAAUCGAGGUAGGUAAUCGUUGUGACGUAGAAUUGUAGGAACCACAUAAGAUUCCAUACAACCUUCCAGUAAAGUUAUAUUUUAUAAUUUUAUUUAAAUAUUAUUUUAAAAUGGGUUUAGUAUGCAGUAAAAUCAAAAACUCAACAAUCUAAAAGAUAAAAAAACAGCCGAUUUAUAAAUUAAAUUAGUAACUUACACAAACUGCGAACAAACAAAAUGUAGAUGAAACUUCGUAAGUGUUUUUAUAAAAUUUAAAUAUUGUAACAUAAUAAUAUUAUAUAUAGUAUAUACUGUAUUACUGUAAAAUAGUUAAAAAAGUUAAAAUAGUUUUGGACAAUAGGUGGGCACAUAAAUUACCUACAUCAUAAAAAUACAUAGAAGAUAAUGAUUUAAAAAAAAAAAUAAAAACAAUAUUGUUUACAUGAUUUCUAGGCUGUAGAUUUAACUAUAGUAUAAUAUGAUAUAUUAUAUAAUUAUAAAAUGCAUUCAAUACUGAUAUUAAUAUUAAAUAGUAGUUGGUCUCCGGUAGUUGGCAGUUACUGGCAGUCGUAAACAGGUGGUAGGUAUGGUAAUUAGUAAUUACCAUUACCUACUGUUUACCAUUAACUACCAUUCCCGUAUUCACUUAGGUACUGACGGACACUUACUUAUUUUCUUACGCAUAUUAUGUUUGUCAAUAUUUAUUUAAUAUUUCAUUUUUCUAAUAAACCGUGAUUUUAUUUUAUAAACAUAUAUUAUAACUAUAUUGGAAGUGGCUAUUUUCGUAUCUCAAGACUGCUUCGAAUAGAUUGUUGAACCUUGUAGUCUUAUGGUGGAUGACUAUUUGCAUUAUUUAGCUGUUUGAUGACAGAUGCAAAUUGAAAUCUAUCAGCAGAAAAUGUUCUUGUAUUAUCUGACUUUCUACAUACAUUUUGCAACUCAUCGACUCAAUUUCAAAGUUCUAUCAGUAUUUUUGGGAAAAUAUUUGUAUGGAAUGGUAUCUUAAAAAUAUAUAAGUUUUAAGUUACCAAGAACAGUGUCGAGCGUUCGGUCUCUGAGUCUAUAUUGCUGCGGCUUUUGAUAAUAUUUGUGCAUAACAAUAUAUAAUGAUUAAUGAUGAACGACCAAAGUGAUUGUAAGUGUUCAUUGCACUCCAUAGACUAUAAGUCAGUAAGACAUACUUGUAAUGGAAAUUGUUUCACUGUUUCGAAGACUCUUUGUUGUCCGGUGAGUUUUAAAUACACUGUAAACACGAUUUCCGGGUAUAACCAUGGUUUGUAAAUUCGCAUCGCGUCUAAAUUUGAUACUCUAAAAAAACAAAUUAACCUGGUGGAUUUCAGGUUAAGAGGACGCAACCCAUGCAUUCGUUGUCUCAGUCUUACCCACGUACGAGACAGUAAAUUUCCGUCCACUAUUUUCAAUAUAGUGUGCUGUUAGUUUUGAUUUUGAAGUGAAUUGACUUUUUAUCAAACUAUUAGGUAAGAAAAUUAUCUGUGCUUAGGCGUUGGUGAUUUUCCAAUAUUUUAUUUUUUUAACAAAAUAUGAGCAUUUUUAAUUUGUAAUUAUUCACAUACUCGUAUCUUGAUUAAAAAUUAAUAUAUUAAAAAUCUCCGACGCUUAAUCACUGGCAAUAUUUUUACCAAAAAAGUAUGAUUAUAUAUGUCAAUUCACUCUAAUGUAAAAAUUAACAGCAAACUAUAGAAACUAAUAAAUUGAAACAAUUGAGUUUCAAGAUUGUAACCCAUUGCGUUUUCUAUAUAUAAUAAAGUAUCCAUAAGUAACUUGACAAUCAUCUCAAAUUAACGACGCCCUA